AUGUACACCCGUCAAUCUCAAACUUAGAUCCCUCGAGUGCCCCGGCCAGUGUUCCCAUCCCAUCGCCUGUGUGCCCUUCCCGCCGCCGAUGCAUUUCUCUACCCAAGAGAUCCAACAGAAGGAGCCGGGGUUCCUUCUUCGCAGCCUCGGUCUUGGCCGAGGAGGGCCUCGAUGCCAUCCCAGUGCAUAGCAGCGACUCGACGGACCAGUAGGACGGGGUCAUCGCCUCCUCCGUGAGGGAGCAGCCUCUUGAGGACCUUGGCAGCCAAGUCCGGGCCUUGGCUCUCGAUAUCGGCGGCAGAGUCGUUGGCGGUGGUGGAAGUGGUGGUGUUGGCUUCUCUUCCUCUUUGGAGGAUGAGCAAGACAUUGGUAAGUCGCUGAAUCGGGCUGUCAAUGCUGCUAUUGUUCUAGAUGCUGGGACUUUCGCCAUCACGAAGCUGCUUACCAUCGACAGCUACUAUUGGCAUGGUUAGACAUUAUAUGAGAUAUUUAGGUAUGCACCACAGCAUAACUGGGCCGCUUAUGAACAAUCUUUGAAAACACAUCCCAUUCUCGCCAAAAUGCUGCUAAAUGGUAUUGUUUAUUCUCUAGGUGAUUGGAUUGCCCAGGUUGAUUUCAUGCUUCAGUGUUUUACAAGUUAAAGGUCAUUUCAGAUGCAUUCCUUCUCUAUUAUGUAAUUCAUAAAUAUUGUUGCAGUGCUAUGAAGGAAAACCACUCUAUGAAUUUGAUUGAGCUCACAUGUUCAGAUCCGGACUUGUAGGAUUUUCUCUCCAUGGGUUACUUUCUCAUUAUUAUUAUCACUUCUAUGAGGUACUCGAAUGAGAAGUCUGAAGCAAGAAAUUCUGAAGUGACUUGGAGUUGAACGCAGAACCAUCAUCCCAUGUCUCUGAGGAAUUGACAAAUACUGAAGAAAGGUAGCUGUUGUUGGAUGGAAUGCUGGUAGAAUAACCAGCUGAGGCAACAAGUUAUGUAGCCGCAUGUAUAGAUAGUCCCUUCAAAUCUAGUUUCGAACUAGUAGUCAUAAUGUCAUAUGUUCACAUGUUUACAAUUAGUGGAUCUGUGAUGACAAUUGUGCAAAGUAUGUGUAGAUGUAAGUCUUGAUUGAAGAAUGUUAGACGUAAGUCUUGAUUGAAGAAUGUCCAACAAGCUGAUCUGAUUAAGGUCCCCUGGAAAGUGAUAUUAAGGUCCAGAGACAUGAGAAUCCAACUGUUGUAAUGGAACAAUUCAGAUAUCAACUCGUUGGAUUCUAU